UCUCGCCCUUUUCUUUUUUUUCUUAUUUGUCGACUUUUAGGGUUUUUUUUUGUUUCUCUUUUGCUUAUUUUUUUGGAUUUGGAAGUUUCUGGAUUUAGUUGUGUUGAUGUAAGAUCUGCUUCAUUAAAGUAUUCAAGUUCAACACUUGUGAAGUUUCCUUUGAUUUGAUUUUGAAUUGGUUGAAGAUUCAGUUUUAACUUCUUAGGGUUUUCAAUUGAUGUUUUUCGCUGCAUAUUUCGGGAUUUUUUGGUUCAUUCAUGGUUUCCCCUUUCUUAUGAGUUUCUUCUAUCUAAUUUCUUUCUGUUUUUGUUUUUGAUUUUGUAUGUUGAUCUGAAUUUUCUUUAAUUUUUUUGGAUUUCAUGUUAGUCUACGGUUUUGUCGUGGUUUAGAUCUCGAGUUUUGUGAUAUUUGUAUGUUAUUCUGGUGUUUCUUUGUCUUGCAGCAUGUCCAGGAGGUUCUCCGGUACAUUCAGUUUGUUUUAUGGUGGACUGCCCUUGGUGUUGCAUCUUCUAUCGGCCUUGUGAUGCACAUUAUUUUCAGCCCAGUUACUGACAUGCAUCCCUUGCUCCUUGUGGAUUAGUCAGGAUCUGGCCUGCACACUUUUGUUCUUUAUCUGGGGCCACAUAUUGCCCUCUUUACCAUUAAAGCAAUGCAAUGUGGCCGAGUUGAUUUGAAAAGUGCUCCAUAUGAUACAAUCCAAUUGAAACGAGGUCCGUUAUGGCUUGAUAAGGACUGCUUUAAAUUUGGACCUCCAUUAUUUAAGUCUGUUCAUGGUUCAAGAGUGCCUCUUACCAGCAUCUUGCCUCAAAUCCAGUUCGAAGCUGUUCUAUGGGGUGUUGGGACUGCAUUAGGUGAAGUUCCACCAUAUUUCAUCUCAAGGGCAGUUUAUAGGUUGUGGUCCUCAGCGACUCUGAGAUCAGAGAGCCAAUUUAUCUGGCCUUGACAAUGUAAGAUGAUUGUAAUGUGAGAUCAAAGAGC